UACGUAGGUGGCAAGCGUUGUCCGGAAUUAUUGGGCGUAAAGCGCGCGCAGGCGGGAUAGUAAGUCUGUUGUGAAAUUGCGGGGCUCAACCCCGUAUUGGCAAUGGAAACUGCUAUUCUUGAGUGCAGGAGAGGAAAGCGGAAUUCCCAGUGUAGCGGUGAAAUGCGUAGAUAUUGGGAGGAACACCAGUGGCGAAGGCGGCUUUCUGGACUGUGUCUGACGCUGAGGCGCGAAAGCCAGGGGAGCGAAC
rnacentral:rRNA from 1 species